CCUACGGGUGGCUGCAGUGAGGAAUAUUGGUCAAUGGACGAGAGUCUGAACCAGCCAAGUAGCGUGAAUGAUGACUGCCCUAUGGGUUGUAAACUUCUUUUAUAUGGGAAUAAAAUGUUCCACGUGUGGGAUUUUGUAUGUACCAUAUGAAUAAGGAUCGGCUAACUCCGUGCCAGCAGCCGCGGUAAUACGGAGGAUCCGAGCGUUAUCCGGAUUUAUUGGGUUUAAAGGGAGCGUAGGUGGAUUGUUAAGUCAGUUGUGAAAGUUUGCGGCUCAACCGUAAAAUUGCAGUUGAAACUGGCAGUCUUGAGUACAGUAGAGGUGGGCGGAAUUCGUGGUGUAGCGGUGAAAUGCUUAGAUAUCACGAAGAACUCCGAUUGCGAAGGCAGUUCACUGGACUGCAACUGACACUGAGGCUCGAAAGUGUGGGUAUCAAACAGGAGUAGAUACCCUUGUAGUC
rnacentral:rRNA from 1 species